CUUAUGAAGUAACAUCAAGAGAUUAUGUUCAAAAGGUGAGGGAGUUGAAUGAAACAGAUGAGUUUAGAGGCGAGACUGAUCUAGAUAAGGAUGCAGUUGCGAAGGUACUUGGCCGUGAUGGAAGGGGUGUUGUUCGAGGCUUUGGAGGUGGGGUCUCAAAGACUGAGUUACGUGCAUCUGCAGUUAGUAGAGAGCUGUUGC